CCUACGGGAGGCAGCAGUGGGGAAUAUUGCACAAUGGGGGAAACCCUGAUGCAGCGACGCCGCGUGAGUGAAGAAGUAUCUCGGUACGUUAAGCUCUAUCAGCAGGAAAGAAAAUGACGGUACCUGACUAAGAAGCCCCGGCUCACUACGUGCCAGCAGCCGCUGUAAUCCGUCGGGGGCAAGCGGUAUCCGGAUUUACUGGGUGUAAAGGGAGCCUAGACGGGGCUGCAAGUCCGGAGGGAAAGCCCAUGGCUUAACCAUGGUACUGCUCUGGAAACUGUAGAGCUUGAGUGCGGGAGGGGCAGGCGGAAUUCCUAGUGUAGCGGUGAAAUGCGUAGAUAUUAGGCAGAACCCCGGCGGCGAAGGCGGCAUGCUGGACCGUAACUGACGUUGAGGCUCGAAAGCGUGGGGAGCAAACAGGAUUAGAUACCCUAGUAGUC
rnacentral:rRNA from 1 species